UACGUAGGGUGCGAGCGUUGUCCGGAAUUAUUGGGCGUAAAGAGCUCGUAGGCGGUCUGUCGCGUCGGUCGUGAAAACUUGGGGCUUAACCCUGAGCUUGCGGUCGAUACGGGCAUGACUAGAGUUCGGCAGGGGAGACUGGAAUUCCUGGUGUAGCGGUGAAAUGCGCAGAUAUCAGGAGGAACACCGGUGGCGAAGGCGGGUCUCUGGGCCGAUACUGACGCUGAGGAGCGAAAGCGUGGGGAGCGAACAGG
rnacentral:rRNA from 1 species